rnacentral:rRNA from 1 species
UACAGAGGGUGCAAGCGUUGCUCGGAAUUACUGGGCGUAAAGCGCACGUAGGCGGCUUUCUAAGUCGGAGGUGAAAUCCUGGAGCUCAACUCCAGAACUGCCUUCGAUACUGGAGAGCUUGAGUCCGGGAGAGGUGAGUGGAACUGCGAGUGUAGAGGUGAAAUUCGUAGAUAUUCGCAAGAACACCAGUGGCGAAGGCGGCUCACUGGCCCGGUACUGACGCUGAGGUGCGAAAGCGUGGGGAGCAAACAGG